rnacentral:rRNA from 1 species
GAUGAACGCUGGCGGCGUGCCUAAUACAUGCAAGUCGAGCGAACGGACGAGAAGCUUGCUUCUCUGAUGUUAGCGGCGGACGGGUGAGUAACACGUGGAUAACCUACCUAUAAGACUGGGAUAACUUCGGGAAACCGGAGCUAAUACCGGAUAAUAUUUUGAACCGCAUGGUUCAAAAGUAAAAGACGGUCUUGCUGUCACUUAUAGAUGGAUCCGCGCUGCAUUAGCUAGUUGGUAAGGUAACGGCUUACCAAGGCAACGAUGCAUAGCCGACCUGAGAGGGUGAUCGGCCACACUGGAACUGAGACAUGGUCCAGACUCCUACGGGAGGCAGCAGUAGGGAAUCUUCCGCAAUGGGCGAAAGCCUGACGGAGCAACGCCGCGUGAGUGAUGAAGGUCUUCGGAUCGUAAAACUCUGUUAUUAGGGAAGAACAUAUGUGUAAGUAACUGUGCACAUCUUGACGGUACCUAAACAGAAAGCCACGGCUAACUACGUG